rnacentral:pre_miRNA from 1 species
AAACAACCCCCAAUGUUUUGAUUCUUUGCCAGUUUUGGACCCUCAAGGUAAAAAAUAAAAAAUAAAAAAAUUGACACGUGGCACCUCACUUAGGGUGCCACGUCAUCGUUGACCGAGUCAACAAUGGACUGGGGGUCCAAAACUGCCAAAGAAUCAAAACAUAGGGGGCUGUUU